rnacentral:rRNA from 1 species
GACGAACGCUGGCGGCGUGCUUAACACAUGCAAGUCGAACGGAAAGGCCCUUCUUUUUUGGGGUGCUCGAGUGGCGAACGUGUGAGUAACAUGUGAGUAACCUGCCCUUGACUUUGGGAUAACUUCAGGAAACUGGGGCUAAUACCUGAUAGUAGCUCCUGCUGCAUGGUGGGGGUUGGAAAGUUUCGGCGGUUGGGGAUGGACUCGCGGCUUAUCAGCUUGUUGGUGGGGUAGUGGCUUACCAAGGCUUUGACGGGUAGCCGGCCUGAGAGGGUGACCGGCCACAGUGGGACUGAGAUACGGCCCAGACUCCUACGGGAGGCAGCAGUGGGGAAUAUUGCACAAUGGGCGGAAGCCUGAUGCAGCAACGCCGCGUGAGGGAUGAAGGCCUUCGGGUUGUAAACCGCUUUCGCCUGUGACGAAGCGUGAGUGACGGUAAUGGGUAAAGAAGCACCGGCUAACUACGUG